ACCUACCAUCACACCACCAUACCUACCCUCAUACAUACCACCACACCAUCAGACUUACCAUCACACCAUCACACCUACCACCACACUUAACAUAUCUCCCCAAACACAUUCAUCUCUAAACGUUUUAUUUACUAACAACACACACACACAACACUGUCACACUGAAUUUAGGACUAAAUUAAUCUGGAUUAAUGCUCCAUGUAUGUGUGAGUGGUUUCAGGAUUAUUACUACAAUAAAAUACACCAUUAAUCAAAAAAAAAAAAACAUUAUUUUUAAAUGACACUUUGCCACCUACAUACACAACACACCACAAAUCACAGUGUUCUGCACUAAUACAAGUCCUGCGCUAGUACAAGUCCUGCGUUAGUACAAGUCCUGGGUUAGUACAAGUCCUGGGUUAGUACAAGUCCUGGGUUAGUACAAGUCCUGCGUUAGUACAAGUCCUGGGUUAGUACAAGUCCUGGGUUAGUACCUGUCCUGCACUAGUACAAGUCCUGCGCUAGUACAAGUCCUGCGCUAGUACAAGUCCUGGGUUAGUACAAGUCCUGGGUUAGUACCUGUCCUGCACUAGUACAAGUCCUGCGCUAGUACAAGUCCUGCGUUAGUACAAGUCCUGGGUUAGUACAAGUCCUGGGUUAGUACCCGUCCUGCGUUAGUACCCGUCCUGCGUUAGUACAAGUCCUGGGUUAUACCCGUCCUGCGCUAGUACAAGUCCUGGGUUAGUACCCGUCCUGCGCUAGUACAAGUCCUGGGUUAGUACCCGUCCUGCGCUAGUACAAGUCCUGGGUUAGUACAAGUCCUGGGUUAGUACAAGUCCUGGGUUAGUACCCGUCCUGCGCUAGUACAAGUCCUGGGUUAGUACAAGUCCUGGGUUAGUACCCGUCCUGGGUUAGUACCCGUCCUGGGUUAGUACAAGUCCUGGGUUAGUACCCCUUUCUAACCAUCUCGAGGUCUGAAAGUUAACCAUAAAUCUGCGGCUAAUCCGAAAUCAGCGAGGUGUUACUGUUUAUACUGCUGUACUCGCUAAACUAACACUCCGCUAGCUAACCGGGGAAGUUAUCCAGCACAGCUAGCAGUGAAUAAACCUUUAACAGUUAACCAUGUUAGCUAGCUAGCACGUCAUAAACACCGUGUAACAAAACAAAACAAAACACAGUGAAAAGAUCAGAUGGAAAUAACUAGCUUAGCACGACACACGAGCGCAGCAUUAAGUUACUCACCUCAGUCAAGUUUCCGACCCAGAAACAGGGGAAAAAACAACAACCCUGACUGUUAAACUCCUUCUUUAAUAUUGUACUCGUGGAUAACGAGGUAAUUAAUCCAUGCUAGGUGCUAAAGGUGAACCCGGAGCUACUUUCCAUGCAGUAAGAUAGCUUAGCUUAGACGAUACGUCGUCACUAGCUCCAACACUCUAAACUAGCGCGUGAGCUAGCUAACUAAAGUGCUUAGUCCUGUCGCAAAACUUGUUUGUUUUGUUUUUUUUGGAAAUGUUCACGUUUGUAAACAUCCUCAUGACUUUGCGGUGUGUUUAUUUAAUCUUCUCGCCUCCAUCCUGGGGAAGGUGUUUCAUUAAACUCGGCUGGUAAGGCGGAGUGUAACUGUUUACAGCUACAUGAGCUACACCGUUAGCCUAGCACCCCCCCUCUC
ensembl:lncRNA